rnacentral:rRNA from 1 species
AGUGAACGCUGGCGGUAGGCCUAACACAUGCAAGUCGAACGGCAGCACAGUAAGAGCUUGCUCUUACGGGUGGCGAGUGGCGGACGGGUGAGGAAUACAUCGGAAUCUACUUUUUCGUGAGGGAUAACGUAGGGAAACUUACGCUAAUACCGCAUACGACCUACGGGUGAAAGCAGGGGAUCUUCGGACCUUGCGCGAUUGAAUGAGCCGAUGUCGGAUUAGCUAGUUGGCGGGGUAAAGGCCCACCAAGGCGACGAUCCGUAGCUGGUCUGAGAGGAUGAUCAGCCACACUGGAACUGAGACACGGUCCAGACUCCUACGGGAGGCAGCAGUGGGGAAUAUUGGACAAUGGGCGCAAGCCUGAUCCAGCCAUACCGCGUGGGUGAAGAAGGCCUUCGGGUUGUAAAGCCCUUUUGUUGGGAAAGAAAGCAGCAGGUUAAUACCCCGCUGUUCUGACGGUACCCAAAGAAUAAGCACCGGCUAACUUCGUG